rnacentral:rRNA from 1 species
AUUGAACGCUGGCGGCAUGCCUUACACAUGCAAGUCGAACGGCAGCGGGGACUUCGGUCCGCCGGCGAGUGGCGAACGGGUGAGUAAUGCAUCGGAACGUACCCGGAAGUGGGGGAUAACGUAGCGAAAGUUACGCUAAUACCGCAUAUUCUGUGAGCAGGAAAGAGGGGGAUCUUCGGACCUCUUGCUUUCGGAGCGGCCGAUGUCAAAUUAGCUAGUUGGUGAGGUAAAGGCUCACCAAGGCGACGAUCUGUAGCGGGUCUGAGUGGAUGAUCCGCCACACUGGAACUGAGACACGGUCCAGACUCCUACGGGAGUCAGCAGUGGGGAAUUUUGGACAAUGGGCGCAAGCCUGAUCCAGCCAUGCCGCGUGAGUGAAGAAGGCCUUCGGGUUGUAAAGCUCUUUCGGCCGGGAAGAAAUCGCAUGGAUUAAUACUCUGUGCGGAUGACGGUACCGGCAUAAGAAGCACCGGCUAACUACGUGCCAGCAGCCGCCGUAAGAC